rnacentral:lncRNA from 1 species
GUGGUCUUUUGCCUGAUGUUCAUUCUAAGAGAAGCCAGGGAUGGUCCCGAGCUUUGAGAGAGGCGUUGGAAUGGACUUCCCAUCUUUGGCUGAGUACGCAAUCUCUUAUUUUCAGCUCUCUGAAUGAUGUGUCUCUGUAAACUCUGAGCAAGAUUGAAAGCAACACAGAUCUAUGAACACAAACACACACAUUUAUAACGCCAUUGACAAUGGGACGGUUAGAAAAGCAUUGUGGGGGCUUGAAGGAGAAUGCCCCUCUUGGUUCAGGCAUUCGAACCAAGACUCUGUCCCCAGUGGCUGAAGUCAUGGAAAGGGGCAGCCUUGUUGGAGGAACUUCGUCAGCAGAGGAAGACUUUAACAGUUUAAAGCCUCACCCUGCUCCCAGUGUGUUCUCUGCUUCACGUGUGUGUUUGAAGGUGGCAUUUCUCUGCUUCCUGCUCCUGCCACGAGGUCUGUUUGCUACCAUGCCUUCCCAUUGUGAUGAACUCUUAUCUCACUAGAACUGUAACCAUAAGCCCAAGUAAAUAUUCUUCCCUUAGUUGCUUCUGGUCAGUGCUUUAUCACAGCAACAGAAAGAUGAUCGAUGCAAAUACCAAUAGUACCACUAGGGUCUAUGGUGCUUUUUAGCCAUAGGUUUUUAAACAUGUUUAUAAUAUGUUCAUGUUUAUAAUUAAUACCCACCUGUGGAGCAAGCUUCAAAUCCAAGCAAGGAAGAGGUCAGCUACCUCCAGGAGCCUUCUCGCCACUAUCGCACCAGUGGGCCCAUCUUGCCUGAAAUGCGUUUUAGCACGCAGGGUCGAGUGCUAGGUAAGAACACUGACAUGUUUUCUAUUCCCAAAUCCUGCACCGCACUUUCCAGCACACAUACACACACAUGGA